AAUAGAUACCCUGGUAGUCCACGCCGUAAACGAUGGAUACUAGCUGUUGGGAGUAAUUUCAGUGGCUAAGCGAAAGUGAUAAGUAUCCCACCUGGGGAGUACGUUCGCAAGAAUGAAACUCAAAGGAAUUGACGGGGGCCCGCACAAGCGGUGGAGCAUGUGGUUUAAUUCGAUGAUACGCGAGGAACCUUACCAAGGCUUAAAUGGGAAACGACAGAUUUGGAAACAGAUUUUUCUUCGGACGUUUUUCAAGGUGCUGCAUGGUUGUCGUCAGCUCGUGCCGUGAGGUGUCAGGUUAAGUCCUAUAACGAGCGCAACCCCUGUUGUUAGUUGCCAGCGAGUCAUGUCGGGAACUCUAGCAAGACUGCCAGUGUAAACUGUGAGGAAGUGGGGAUGACGUCAAAUCAGUCACGGCCCUUACGCCUUGGGCUACACACGUGCUACAAUGGCCGGUACAGAGAGCAGGCCACUUCGGUGAGGAGGAGCGAAUCUAUAAAACCGGUCACAGUUCGGAUCGGAGUCUGCAACUCGACU
rnacentral:rRNA from 1 species